AGGCCUCUGGCUACAGAUGUACCUACACUGGUGUUUGUCCAGAAGACUCGGGGAUAAGGCUGCUGGCUUUUGUAGCUGUCUUACAGGAUCCCAGUUUCCCGAUGAACAAACCAUCGCUCAGACCCAUCAAGUGCCUCUCUCAGUGGUGUUUGAUUAGGCCUCCAGUUCAGAAGACUGCCUCUGGCCGAGACGUUCACAGGAAAUGAGGGAGAAGGCAGCAGGUUGACCCUGCAGCACCUCUACGAGGCAGAUACAAGGACUACCCGUAUUUCAGGUGAACUCUCCCAUUAAAGAAAAAGUCAAAAUGGA